AACGUAGGUACCGAGCGUUAUCCGGAUUUACUGGGCGUAAAGCGUGUGCAGGCGGUCGUGCAAGUCGGGCAUGAAAGCCCCUGGCUCAACUAGGGGAAGCUGUCUGAUACUGCAGGACUUGAGGGCUCGAGAGGGCGAUGGAAUUCCGCAUGUAGUGGUGAAAUGCGUAGAGAUGCGGAGGAACACCAGUGGCGAAAGCGGUCGCCUGGCGAGCCCCUGACGCUCAGACACGAAAGCUAGGGGAGCGAACGGG
rnacentral:rRNA from 1 species